UCACCUCUCAUUUGCUGUCUUUGGAAGUCCUUCAAGCUCAGUUGGAGCCACCAUCCCCCACUGAAGGCUCUUGGGGGCCCACUGCAACGGCCACACAAUGGGAUCUCUCUGCUUCUGAGUGUAACACAACUCACUCUUCCCAGCCACCAGAGUGUCACUCUACAACAUAACUUGGAUCCUAUCCCUGAAUGGUUAAAGCCCUUCUGUGGCUUCCUCACGUGCUGGAAGUAUCCCAGUUGCGUCUUCUGAAGCUGAGUCUCCUGUUUUAUGGUUCAUCCAAAUGUGCAGUGCUCAUCUGACUCGCUCAUCACCAUGCAGUGGGGCUGCAUGGAUGAAGCUAAUUUGUGCCGGGCCUAUUUGGAAGCUGGUGUUCCCGUCAUGAAGACUCAGAGGUAGGGCACUCAACUGAGUGAACUCUAGGUAGGAAAGAACAGUGACCACAGAAACGUAGUGUCUCUCUGAAGCUGGAAAUUUGAUCCCAGGUGAAAGCAACCCAGCAGCUGACUACUCAAUGUCUACUGUGUAGUUCCAAGGUUUAGUUCAACUGACUGCAGAUCACCGAAACCUCAGCUAGACCCUGGUUCAAGGCUUUUGGUGGUAGAAGAAGUUAUGUGUGCAGGCUUCACUGUCAGAGAGACUUAGGCUUUGCUCUCCGCUCUUAUGCUCUCUAGCAGAGCCAUCUUGGAUGAAUUGCUGAACUUCACACCAUAAUCUGGAUGUGAUAAUGUUUACUAUACAGACUUCAGGUAAGGAUUUAAUUGAGAUCAUAGACAGAAAGCACUAAGUAAGCAUUCCCUAACCCAUGCUAAUGCACAAAACUUGUUGGUUACUAUGAUUACAAAAGCUGCCACAACAUCUCUCUUGAAGCUUAUAGUGUAAGGGGAAAAGGGGUGCCGGGCACAAAGUUCCUCUAAACAGAGUUGAGCAAUGCUUUUAAGAACUGUUGGAAAUAGAUUUUACUAUCCCCAUUCUUCCCAUGAGGACAUGAAAACCCCUAAAACCUAAAGUUUUGCUCAAGGCCACAUAGCUAAUCAUAGGGCCUGGAUGAAAAUCUGUGUCCGCUGGAACUGUCUCCCAUUAAAGGCCAUGAACUUUCCAUAACAUCAGCAGCCACUUCUGACUUCUCACUCUUCCACGGAGAGGCUGGACACUGGGGAACAUGUUGUUUCAACUAAUUUUACCUUUGUUAUCACAUUCAGUAAGUGGUAUUUAUGUUGGCUGUCCUUUAUGUCUCAUUUGAUUAGGCUUCAGGAGAACAAAUGAUAUAGUAGUCACAAGAAGACUUGAUAAAACAGGAUAUUCCUAUCUCAAUUUUUUUUUCUGGCUUUCUCUUGAUUUGAGGAGCCCAUAGGAAGAACAAAUAAAACCAAAGCAUGAGUGGGUAAAAGAAUGCCCAUCAGUAAAGCAGCAAACGAGCUUUGAGCUCUUUGGAGAAUUCCAUUAAUAAAAGUACUUUUGCACUUGCCACUGUUGACAGAGAUGGAGGACUUGGGUCUCCUAACACCGUCAAGCUGCACCUUUGUGUAACACAUCUAAUCCACUACAGAGGGACAACUUUCAACUGAUGCCUACAGUUUUUCCUUCUCUGAAGCUUAGUGACAUUCAUCGUUUUCUUCUCACAUUUUCUUUUAAAUGCCCCAGUGCAUGACUACCUUUUCAAGGGUUUGUCCCUUUUCAGUAAGAGAGAAAUCAACUAUAGCAGACACUGGGAGGCAGGGUCCACAGCUCUCCCAAGAAUGACAAUAAUGUGAUGGUUUAGGCAUCUGACCCUUACUCAUUGCUCUCUCCAACUCUGUUCCAUUUUGAUAUUAAUUAAAAACAGUUUUAAUCUAAAACCCGUCUAUCAAAAGAAGAACUGCUUGAAGCAAUAUAUGCCUCCUGAAGUCAAUGUCAUGUGACUUUACUCCACUUGAAUUACCUGAAGCAAGACAGUAGUAGUAAUAGCUAUCAUAGUCCAGCUACCAUUUCUUUUCUUUUU
rnacentral:lncRNA from 1 species